rnacentral:rRNA from 1 species
AGCGAACGUUUGCGGCGGGCCUAACACAUGCAAGUCGAACGCACUAGCAAUAGUGAGUGGCGCACGGGUGCGUAACACGUGGGUAAUCAACCCUUCAGCCUGGGAUAACGACUCGAAAGGGUCGCUAAUACCGGAUACGGCGCGAGAGGCUUCGGCUUCUCACGAGAAAGCCACGCAAGGGGCACUGAAGGACGAGCCUGCGGCCCAUCAGCUAGUUGGUGAGGUAAGAGCUCACCAAGGCUAAGACGGGUAGCUGGUCUGAGAGGAUGAUCAGCCACACUGGAACUGAGACACGGUCCAGACUCCUACGGGAGGCAGCAGUGGGGAAUAUUGCGCAAUGGGCGAAAGCCUGACGCAGCCACGCCGCGUGAGCGAUGAAGGCCUCGGUCGUAAGACUCUGUGGGAGAGACGAAGAAAGACCUGUGAAGAGCAGGCCUUGACGGUAGUCUCCUUAGUCAAGCACCGGC